rnacentral:tRNA from 1 species
GGAUAAGUGCCUGAUUAAAGGAUUACUCUGAUAGGGUAAAUUAUGUGUUUCACCUUAUCCU